UAGCCGUAAACGAUACUCGCUAGGUGUCGGCCACGGUGCGACCGUUGUCGGUGCCGUAGGGAAGCCGUGAAGCGAGCCACCUGGGAAGUACGGCCGCAAGGCUGAAACUUAAAGGAAUUGGCGGGGGAGCACAACAACGGGUGGAGCUUGCGGUUUAAUUUGGAUUCAACGCCGGAAAUCUUACCGGGACCGACAGCAACAUGAAGGCCAAGCUGAAGACUUUGCCGGAUUAGCUGAGAGGUGGUGCAUGGCGUAGACGUCU
rnacentral:rRNA from 1 species